AGAGCGUGCUGAUAACGUGUUAUA
rnacentral:siRNA from 1 species